GCCAACAUCGAAAUUAUUUAGUAGUCACACCAGCUCUACCAGCUGGCAUCGACAAACCUUGGUAUACCGGAGGGGUGAAACGAAGUUCCUAGCGAAGCUUCCUACGAGUUUCCGCACAAGGACUAAAGUGUCUUCGCCUGCUUUACCGUCACCGUCAUGAUUGUGUUGCGAGUACUGACGUGUUUGACUUUAGUGUCGCUGUCAGGCGGUCAGACACUGAAUCUGUAUGAGAAUGUUACACUGAGUGGUGGAUGGACUGUCUACCCUAUUAACUACAUCGUGGUGGAGAAUACGAGUGUUGCGUUAUGGUGCAAGCGGAAUGAUGGCGUCCUUCCUGCGUAUCGGAUUAGAUCGUUUGACGAGAGCUUUUUUAGAAAUGCGUUACAGAAGUUUGCGAGUGAUCCUCUGGUCACGAUUGAACCUGAGACAGUAAAACUCAAGAUUGACAGAUUCAGUAAGAAAUACGAAGGCGAGUGGCAGUGCAUUGCAGUAGUGAUUGAUCCUGUUUUUGGAGUUGUGAUUCGCUCUGGUCCAACUCGUAAGGUGGAGCUUGCAAUUGCUCCUACCAUCAGUCAGUUUACUGCUCCUAAUACCAACUUGUCGGAUUCCGUGACGAUUACUUGUGAAUCUCCUGAAGCUAAACCAGAUCCUUCUUACCUGUUCAUCAGGCGGCAGAAAACAGGAGAGAUACUGAAAAAUACAUCACUUACAAAAACUGUGAGCUAUACUAUUGACAAAGUCAAAGAAACUGAUGCUGGAGAAUACGAGUGUGUUGGUGAGAACAAGGCUGGACUUAGAAGCGGGACAGUGUAUUUUACAGUUCAGAUUGCUCCUCAUACUCUCAUUCUAAACGGACAAAACACUUACACAAUCAGUCAAAUGGAUAACAUCACAUUUAGAUGCCAGUCUACAGGCAUUCCAGUGCCACAAAUUCGGUGGUUUUGGGAUGGCCAAGUGCAAAAGGCUGGUGAGCAAGGAAACGGUACAUUGACUAUCACAUCAGCAAAGAAAAGCGACACGGCCACUUACACGUGUGAAGGAAAGAAUGAUGCAGGAGUGGACAUGGAUACAGUUGUUCUUCAAGUGAGAGUUCCACCUGAUGCACCGACCAACUUGACGGCUAAGGAAAAAGCAAAUAUUUCUAUCACUUUGUCAUGGAUAUCUGGAUCUGAGAACUUCAGUCCAAUCAAUGGAUAUGAAGUGAUAUAUAGACAGACCGGAUCUAGUGAUUGGAUGAUUGCCAGAAAUUUCAAUGACGGAGCCACAACAGAACAGCUGGUCGAUGGAUUGAUACCGUUGACUGAUUAUGACUUUAGAGUGAGAGCCAGGAAUGCUAUUGGAGAAGGAGAAUUUAGUGACAUGGAAAAACUGAUAACACAUCCUAAUGCUCCGUCUCUUGGUCCAACUGAGCUUAGCUAUAGUGAAGUUAAAGCCGUAUCAGCAAAGCUGACUUGGAAAAUUGUCAAUGAAAGCCUUUUAUCCAGCAAUGAAGGCAGCAUAACAUACUAUGAGAUGGCUUACAGUUAUAAUAAUCAAAGUAAUAUGGAAGAGAAAUUGCAAUAUACAAAUGGAGCUACUCCGUCAGGGACACUGACUGGUUUAUUGAAAGGUUCCACUUAUAAGGUGGUAGUGUAUGGCAGAAACUCAGGACUAUAUCGAUCACCUCCAUCAAAUGAAGUGUCGUUUACAACUAGCACAACGGUACCUGGCAGGGUGACCAGUCUUGGCACAACAAAGGUAACAGAGAACAGUCUCAAUAUUACGUGGGAGGAACCAACAGACACUGGAGGACAGAAUGUACAUAUAGAUGGGUACAGAGUUGAGUACCGUGCUGGUGCAUCAGGAGAUUUCACAAUAUUUCAACAAAAUCAGCAAGAAACAAUGGCUCUUAUUGAAGGACUCAUGCCAAGACAGGAGUACACAGUGAGAGUCACUGCUAGGAAUGUCAACGGUUUUGGUGUACAUGAUGAAAUUAAGAGAACAGCACGGACUGAAGCUCCACCUGAUGCACCGACCAACUUGACAGCUAAGGAAAAAACAAAUAUUUCUAUCACUUUGUCAUGGAUAUCUGGAUCUGAGAACUUCAGUCCAAUCAAUGGAUAUGAAGUGACUUAUAGACAGACCGGAUCUAGUGAUUGGAUGAUUGCUAGGAAUUUCAGGGACGGAGUCGCAACAGAACAGCUGGUCGAUGGGUUGAUACCGUUGACUGAUUAUGACUUUAGAGUGAGAGCCAGAAAUGCUAUCGGAGAAGGAGAACUCAGUGACAUAGAAAAACUGAUAACACAUCCUAAUGCUCCGUCUCUUGGUCCAACUGAGCUUAGCUAUAGUGAAGUUAAAGCCGUAUCAGCACAGCUGACUUGGAAAAUUGUCAAUGAAAGUCUUUUAUCCAGCAAUGAAGGCAGCAUAACAUACUAUGAGAUGGCUUACAGUUAUAAUAAUCAAAGUAAUAUGGAAGAGAAAUCGCAAUAUACAAAUGGAGCUACUCCGUCAGGGACACUGACUGGUUUAUUGAAAGGUUCCACUUAUAAGGUGGUAGUGUAUGGCAGAAACUCAGGACUAUAUCGAUCACCUCCAUCAAAUGAAGUGUCGUUUACAACUAGCACAACAGUACCAGGCAAGGUGACCAGUCUUGGCACAACAGAGGUAACAGGGAACAGUUUCAAUGUUACGUGGGAGGAACCAACAGACACUGGAGGACAGAAUGUACGUAUAGAUGGGUACAGAGUUGAGUACCGCGCUGGUGUAUCAGGAGCUUUCACAAUAUUUCAAGAAAAUCAGCAAGAAAAAACGGUUCUUAUUGAAGGACUCAUGCCAAGACAGGAGUACACAGUGAGAGUCACUGCUAGGAAUGGCAAGGGUUUUGGUGAUCCUGAUGAAAUUAAGAGAACAACAUCGACUGAAGUUCCACCUGAUGCACCGACUAACUUGACGGCUAAGGAGAAAACAAAUAUUUCUAUCACUUUGUCAUGGAUAUCUGGAUCUGAGAACAUCAGUCCAAUCAAUGGAUAUGAAGUGAUCUAUAGACAGACCGGAUCUAGUGAUUGGAUGAUUGCUAGAAAUUUCAGUGACGGAGCCACAACAGAACAGCUGGUCGAUGGGUUGAUGCCUUUGACUGAUUAUGACUUUAGAGUGAGAGCCAGGAAUGCUAUUGGAGAAGGAGAAUUCAGUGACAUGGAAAAACUGAUAACACAUCCUAAUGCUCUGUCUCUUGGUCCAACUGAGCUUAGCUAUAGUGAAGUUAAAGCCGUAUCAGCACAGCUGACUUGGAAAAUUGUCAAUGAAAAUCUUUUAUCCAGCAAUGAAGGCAACAUAACAUACUAUGAGAUGGCUUACAGUUAUAAUAAUCAAAGUAAUAUGGAAGAGAAAUUGCAAUAUGCAAAUGGAGCUACUCCGUCAGGGACACUGACUGGUUUAUUGAAAGGUGCCGCUUAUAAUGUAGUAGUGUAUGCAAGAAACUCAGGACCAUAUCGAUCACCUCCAUCAAACGAAGUAUUGUUUACAACUAGCACAACAGUACCAGGCAAGGUGACCAGUCUUGGCACAACAAAGGUAACAGAGAACAGUCUCAAUGUUACGUGGGAGGAACCAACAGACACUGGAGGACAGAAUGUACGUAUAGAUGGGUACAGAGUUGAGUACCGUGCUGGUGUAUCAGGAGCUUUCACAAUACUUCAAGAAAAUCAGCAAGAAACAAUGGCUCUUAUUGAAAGACUCAUGCCAAGACAGGAGUACACAGUGAGAGUCACUGCUAGGAAUGUCAACGGUUUUGGUGUACAUGAUGAAAUUAAGAGAACAACAUCGACUGAAGCUGUUACUGUUACUAUCGGCACAACAACUGAGACAACAGUCCAAGUAGUUUGGCAGAUUGGUAACGUCACGGAUUUUGUGACAGAUAUUACUGUACAUUGGGGGACCAAGUUGAGUGAAACUUUAGAAAAAGGGAUAGAGACUUACACCAUAAAACAACUGAAUCCUAAGACUUCAUACACAAUCAGAGUUGUCGUAAGUCUUCUUAAUGGUCAAGAGCGGGAGGCGACUGAAGAAGUUGAAACGAAAGCACUUACUGCCAUCGUACUUCGUCCACCAGAGACGCUUCGUGUUGACAAAGAUGCACUUGGCACGGCUAUAUGUCUAACUUCUAGUGGUGCUCCACCACCACCACCAGUUGAGUGGAGGGUUAAUAAUGAAGUUGUAUCAAGCACAGGGUCCAUUACAGUGCAAGACAACGUCUUGACUGUGACAUACUCAGAAGAGCUAAACGAGGCAAUCAUCGUUUGCAAAGUCAAUGAGAUUACGUCAAACAAAGUUACAGUUGAUAUUCCUGUUGAAGGCAAGAAUAGUGGCCUUUCAGGCGGUACAAUAGCUGCUAUUGCUGUCGGAGUGAUACUUGGAAUUAGCAUAAUGGUUAUCAUUCUAUUGAUCGUUAUGUUGAGGAGAAAACAGUGUGAAGUUGUUUGAAGACUCUAAUUGUAUGUUGAUACGUGGUUUGAACGCUUCAGUUGUUUUGUUACUUGCUUUGUCGGGCUAGUAUAACAGUGGUUAUCUACCAGUAGAGGUUAUUUACAGUGACUUCUUUACAAUGCAGCACAGCUGUCAAGCAUUACUAUAUAUCAUCUCAGUAGCGUACACUGGACAGUGUUUGAGAAAGUGGUCGUCAAGUUGUUAUUUGACGACUAACUGAAUUUUUGUGACAACCAGUUAUACCAGCGAGGUUGCCAUCCUGACGACUAAAGUCACUCAAGCUAGCUAUGGUGGAUCCAAUAAUUUUUUGCUUCUAUGCUGUAGAGUAGAAUAGGUCAGACUGAGAGUCUUGAGA